rnacentral:rRNA from 1 species
AUUGAACGCUGGCGGCAGGCUUAACACAUGCAAGUCGAGCGGAGAUGAGGUGCUUGCGCCUUAUCUUAGCGGCGGACGGGUGAGUAAUGCUUAGGAAUCUGCCUAUUAGUGGGGGACAACAUUCCGAAAGGAAUGCUAAUACCGCAUACGCCCUACGGGGGAAAGCAGGGGAUCUUCGGACCUUGCGCUAAUAGAUGAGCCUAAGUCGGAUUAGCUAGUUGGUGGGGUAAAGGCCUACCAAGGCGACGAUCUGUAGCGGGUCUGAGAGGAUGAUACGCCACACUGGGACUGAGACACGGCCCAGACUCCUACGGGAGGCAGCAGUGGGGAAUAUUGGACAAUGGGCGGAAGCCUGAUCCAGCCAUGCCGCGUGUGUGAAGAAGGCCUUUUGGUUGUAAAGCACUUUAAGCGAGGAGGAGGCUACCUGGAUUAAUACUCUAGGAUAGUGGACGUUACUCGCAGAAUAAGCACCGGCUAACUCUGUGCCAGCCGCCGCCGUAAAAC